UACGAAGGGGGCUAGCGUUGCUCGGAAUCACUGGGCGUAAAGGGUGCGUAGGCGGGUCUUUAAGUCAGGGGUGAAAUCCUGGAGCUCAACUCCAGAACUGCCUUUGAUACUGAGGAUCUUGAGUCCGGGAGAGGUGAGUGGAACUGCGAGUGUAGAGGUGAAAUUCGUAGAUAUUCGGAAGAACACCAGUGGCGAAGGCGGCUCACUGGCCCGGUACUGACGCUGAGGUGCGAAAGCUAGGGGAGCAAACGGG
rnacentral:rRNA from 1 species